rnacentral:tRNA from 1 species
CGGGUGUCCGGCCGGGACUUCGAGCUGCGGCUCGUGAAGCUGCCGGGCUCGGCCCGGCCGGGCACCCUGCGGAUCGAGGUCGCCGACACGCGG